CUGUCCUGUUAGCCAGCAGCCGAGUUGACGGCCAAGGCCGCCGCCUCCAGCUGGUUUUAAUUGAGGGGAUGGUGCCUGUGUGCAGGACGUUGAAUACGAGCCCAUGGAGCCUCCAAUUCCAGUACUCCGGCCUGCAGGUCCAGGGAACUCCAGUACCAUUGUGGGAGGAAGAUUCACACAGACGGAAGUUAAUGAAUAAUGUGAAGAAAUGUCACACAUGUCCAGUGAGAAGAAAUGAUGUGUGCUACAGGACUUCAACUGAGGAAGGGAUGCCUGCGUGGUCAGAGGAGGCUCAUGGAAAAGGUAGGAUAUGAAUUCGUUUUUGAAACAUGAAUAAGAUUUGGGU
rnacentral:lncRNA from 1 species